rnacentral:lncRNA from 1 species
UUCUUCUGAUCCUUGGACGCCACAGGAGGCAUCAUCAUCUUCAUAUCCUUCCCGCCACCACCACCACCACCACCACCUUGAGCUUGAGCCGCCUUCAUCAUCAUCAUCUGUUGCAUCUGCUGAGGUGUCAACUGCAUUGGUUGACCUCCCCCACCACCACCACCACCUUGAGCUUGAGCAGCUUUCAUCAUCAUCAUCUGUUGAAUCUGCUGAGGAGUCAAUUGCAUUGGUUGACCUCCACCACCACCACCACCACCAUUAGGUUUCCCUUUGCUCUCUUUUCCACCUUUCCCGUUCAUACUGAGAUUACCAAACUGCCCAUUCAGAUUAGGAAACC